ACUUUAUGGGUGUAAAUCCAGACAUUCCUAGGAAAUAGUCGCACAGCAAACUCCCUGAUCCUCCGGCUCCAUCUUCUCCCUCUUCCAAGCAUGCGGUCCCAUGAGUGAUGGACAUUGCUCUUGCAAUGAGAACCUGCUCUAUUACCUUUGUAGCCUGAGCUCUUGCCAUCGAUAGCUCUCUUCUGUGUCUGAUGCUUCCGGGCGCCUCCUCUGCUGUCUCCAUCUGCAAGCCUCUACACUGACUUGGAAUGCCUGCCUGCAGAUUUUCACUCGAUUCCCUCCUCCACCUUGUCUGAAAUACCUGAUGUGGCUGACAUCCUGAAAUUCAGUAAGUGGAGACGGAAGAUCCCAGAAAUGUAACAGAGAAUCUCUUCCUUCGAGAGAGAAACCAGCAAACAGACAGGAGCGGGCAGAUGGUGAGGAUCUGUAACGACUGGCAACAAAGUCCUCUGCUUGCCUCUGCGCUCCGCAGGUCUGGCAGGAAAGAGAAAGAACUUCCUGUUGGUGAGCGGUUUGAGUGGUGAGGGAAGAAACUGGAUUUGGGAAGUGGUGUGAUCUAGAGUAAAAUCCAAGGUCACCCACUGUGUCUGUCCUGCAGGCUGCAGCAUAUAGCAUAAUCAG
rnacentral:sRNA from 1 species